UUUCUAGUGACAUAAUACUAGAUUAGCCCUGCCCUACGUAAUUAAGUGGCCGCGGUAUAUUAACCGUGCUAAGGUAGCAUAAUCAAUUGUUUAUUAAUUGUAAAAUUGAAUGAAUGGGUAAACAAAAUAAAGACUGUCUCCUAUAGAUUAAUAAAAACUAUCCUUCUUAUGAAGAGAUAAGAAUAAAAUUAAAGGACAAGAAGACCCUACAGAGCUUUCAUAUAAACUUAUUUAUAAACUAAAAUUUGGUUGGGGCGACCUAAGAUAAAAAAUAACAUCUUUACAUAAAAAAGAGUCUCAACUCUAAACAAUGAUCCAUAAUUGAUCAGUGAUUUAAGUUACCUUAGGGAUAACAGGCUGAUUAUUAUUUAGAGCUCUUAUCCAAAUAAUAGAUUGGCACCUCGAUGUUGGCUUAGGAAUACUAGUGUUCGCAAGAGAAUUCAAAGUUGGUUUGUUCAACCAUUAAUUUCCU
rnacentral:rRNA from 1 species